rnacentral:rRNA from 1 species
AGAACGAACGCUGGCGGCGUGGAUAAGACAUGCAAGUCGAACGGAACAGCUUGUAGCAAUACCGGCUGUUCAGUGGCGAACGGGUGCGUAACACGUGGGCAACAUGCCUGAAAGCGCGGGAUAGCCCGGGGAAACCCGGAUUAAUACCGCAUGUGACAUCGGGGGGGAUUCCCUCCGCUGUCAAAGGUGGGGACCGCAAGGCCUGCCGCUUUCAGAUUGGCCCGCGCCCUAUCAGCUUGUUGGUGAGGUAACGGCUCACCAAGGCUACGACGGGUAGCUGGUCUGAGAGGACGACCAGCCACACUGGAACUGAGACACGGUCCAGACACCUACGGGUGGCAGCAGUCGAGAAUCUUUCACAAUGGGGGAAACCCCAUGGAGCGACGCCGCGUGGAGGAUGAAGGUCUUCGGAUUGUAAACUCCUGUCAUGAGAGAACAAGCAGACCCGGUGAACAACCGGCAGCCGAUAGUAUCUCAAGAGGAAGGACGGCUAACUUCGU